UACGAAGGGGGCUAGCGUUGCUCGGAAUCACUGGGCGUAAAGGGUGCGUAGGCGGGUCUUUAAGUCAGGGGUGAAAUCCUGGAGCUCAACUCCAGAACUGCCUUUGAUACUGAAGAUCUUGAGUUCGGGAGAGGUGAGUGGAACUGCGAGUGUAGAGGUGAAAUUCGUAGAUAUCAGGAAGAACACCCGUGGCGAAAGCGGCUCUCUGGAACGGUACUGACGCUGAGACGCGAAAGCGUGGGGAGCAAACAGG
rnacentral:rRNA from 1 species